ensembl:miRNA cin-mir-219 cin-mir-219
AUGGCGUCUGUUUCGUGAUUGUCCAAACGCAAGCUCAGUUUUAAAAUACUGCGAUUGUGUCUGGACAUCUCAAAUCAGAAGGCUGCUGUCUUCAAAAACCAA